UCGCUUUGCUUUACCGGACUGCUGCUGGCUCCAGUCUGCAAAUUGGGAGGGAGGAGGGCGGAGUGACUGAAGGAAAGCAAAUCUAAUUGGGAAGGUUUUUCAGGACAUGUCCCUUAAUUAACUACCACCUUUGUGAUCAAGAACAGGUUACAAGCUGAGACAGAAGAAUCAUAUAAACCCAAAGAAGAAUGCCCUGAAUAAUUUUACAAUCCAGGACACAAUGUUUUCACCAAUGAUGGAACAGUGUUCACCAGUGGAAGGGUAUUGCAGUUGUCACUCUGAUUCUACAUUCUAGUUCUCUAAGAUGCUGGAAAUGAUCUGUAGCAAGUCUUCAGUCAUACAAUGUUGUCUUAACACUUUUAGAGUAGAGAAGCACCAUAGCAGCUGGCUCACAGGGAAAUUAUAUAUUUAGUUCAAAAAGCUGUCGAUAUAAUGUAAAUGUUUAACUUACAUAUUUAAUUUAUGUGCUUGACA